rnacentral:rRNA from 1 species
AGAAUCAACGCUGGCGGCGUGCCUAACACAUGCAAGUCGCACGAGAAAGGGGAGCAAUCCCUGAGUAAAGCGGCGCACGGGUGAGUAACACGUGAAUAAUCUACCUCCGAGUGGGGAAUAACUGAGAGAAAUCUUAGCUAAUACCGCAUAACACUUACGAGUCAAAGCAGCAAUGCGCUUGGAGAGGAGUUCGCGGCCGAUUAGUUAGUUGGCGGGGUAAUGGCCCACCAAGACGAUGAUCGGUA